CUGAGCGAGCCAGGGUCUCGGCCCUGUGCGUGGGGGUCCUCUGGGAGAGCUCCUGAAAGGGCUCUGGCAGCCAGCUCCUCUUGGCUGGAAAGCUCCACCAUGUAGGGGGGAGCUUGGGGCUGCCGGGAGCAGGGUCUUGCUCCAUCAUCCAGGCUGGAGUGAAGUGGCGCAAUCAUAGCUCUCUGCAUCGUUGACCUCCUGGGCCUAAGUGAUCCUACCACCUUGAUCUCCUUGCCUUAAGUGAUCCUACCACCUUAACCUUCUGAGUAGCUGGGACUACAGGCAUGUGCUGCUACACCCAGCUAAUUUUUUUUUUAACUUUCCCCUGAGUCACUGGAAUUAUAGGCGUGCACCACCGUGCCCGGCAGUCAGUGAGUACUUACUGAGUACUGACCACAGGCCUUUCCCUCAUGGAACAUUCAUGACUGAGGACACACACAACCCUUAAAUGGACACCUGAAAAUGACAUAAGGUCCACCAAAAAAUGGAAGGGCUGCUCUAUUAAACUACUUAAAAA
rnacentral:lncRNA from 1 species